CGUAGGCCCGUAUUUAUAGUCGAGUCUCAAGACAGCGUCGAUGCUCAAGACCGACCUUGAACCAACUUUGUGUUUUAUAAACCGAUCUCGAGACACGACGUUGUCUUGGGAAGUGUAAAAUGACAGGCGAAUCUCAAGUCAUCGAUCGACCUUCCUCAAGACCGCGAUUCUAACCUAACUUUGUUUGUUAUUGUUUGAAUUUUGAAUAUUUUAAAUUCAGUUCCAACAUAUAUUUUUUGUUUUUCUAAUUACAACAAAAAUGUAUGAAGAAGUAAAAGCAUUUUUAGAGUUUAUUGAUAAUAUUGGAGAAGAAAAUCGCCCGGGAAGUAUACAAAAGCGAUAUAUUCAAGAUAAAAAUAUAAUCUAAAAUACAAUGGAGUAUUACAAUAUUGAAGUUCAUCAGCGAAUCAGCGCAUUAACUUAAACAAUAAAGGUUUUAUGCUACUUAUAGGAAUAUAACCAGUUUUUAUGAGGACCCCGCUUUCCAAAAAUGUACAGGUACUAGAAGAGAAAUUAUGUGUAUUAUUGUUCAACAACAAGGUUAUAAGUCAUAGGUAAAUAAUGAUCUGGUGGUAAAUAGACAUGUUAAUGAUGUGGAACAAUUUCUAAAUUUUUGGUGACAUUUUUUUCAACAAUAUUUUGCAUGAGAAUACAUUAUUGAAUACCUACUCUUAUUGUGUUUGAUUUUUUUGUCUAUUAUUUCUCAAAAUAUCAUGAUCAUUGUUCCACAGCCCUUUUUGUUUGAGUUUUGGUCUCUUGGGGAAUACAGCUCCAUUCCAAUCUAUUUCAGGAUUUGUUCUUGCAAUUUUUUAUUUUUAAAAUAUCAAUGUCUUAUUCUGUUUGUUCCUUAUAUCUAAUCUAUAGUCUUUCUCUCGUUAUAUGUCCAGCUGACAUUUGUGUGUUUAUUUUGGAAAGUAAUUCAUAUGCUUCCAUCCUUCCUCUUAGAACGUGGUCCUAUUUUGAUGAAUGCAUAUGGAUCGUGGUCUUAGAACAUCAUGGAUCAUGCUUCUAUCCUUCCUCUUAGAACGUGGUCCUAUUUUGAUGAAUGUAUAUGGAUCGUGGUAUGCCCUGUAUAGUUCAAAAUUAUAUUUCAUAUGCUUCCAUCUUUCCUCUUAGAACGUGGUCCUAUUUUGAUGAAUGUAUAUGAAUCAUGGUAUGCCCUGUAUAGUUCAAAAUUAUAUCUUCUCUGGUCUUCAUAUUUUAGAUGCUAUUUAGCCUGAUUAGUGCUUUAUCGUUGUUUCCAGUGCUUUAUCAAUUUAUCAUCAUUUAUUUUACCUACCUGUCUACUGCUACUCUACUAUUGUACUUUCACCAUAUAUUUUUGGAAUAUAAAUAUACCUUCUGUCUUUCUCUUGUUCAACUGGAAUUUGUUUAUUUAUUCUGAGAAUACAUUAUUGAAUCUGUAUUAUGUUAGAUAUAUUAUUUUUUAUUUUAUUUCUUAAUAUGUAUUUUUUAUAUUUUAUUUUAAAAUAAAUGAGUAUGAGUUUCCCUCUUCUUAAAUAA